UUGUUCCUUGGUAUGCCUGUAUGGGUAGUCCAUUGUGCUCCAAAAGCUGCAAGAAAAUUUUUUUAAUUUAAAUUAAAUAAAUUUCUUUCCCUCAAUAAUAUAUUUUUUUAUUUGGUGAAAAUGCCCGCUUCUUACGGCUAAACGUGAACUACAUAUUUUGAAAAUCUUCUUGAUCAUUACGCGAAGACUUUGCUAUUUUCUCGUUGUUGUAGUUUUUGGUGUUGUAGGGGCGGGGCCUCAACAAUUUGAUUUUAUGAAUGACACGCGUCACCAUUUGACAGUUUUCUAAUUACGCUUGUGACCUAUGAUAUUUAAUUUUUGUGUAGUGUGUAGUGCUCUCCACUAUGAAGCUGUUAGAACUCUACCUUGAAUUGGUUGAAAAAGAGUCACGCCGUGUUUCGUCAGCAUGGAAAAAUUGCCAAAUAACUUUGUACGUGGCCAGUAUCGUAGCCAGCUUCAUAGCGUACAUUUGUUUCACGAAUGCACUGAACGGCUUCAACGGCAAUUGUAUGCUCUUUAGUGACGUGAGCUUUGUGUCGGGACCACUAAAUUGCAGCCAGCCUGAGGUGAACCCGUUUGACGCGGCGCGUACAGAAUGGGGCGACAUCGGCGUGUGCAUGUUUGUGCAAUACGUGCCCGUGUUCUCGGUGAUCUUCUCCUUCCCUUGGGCCGUGCUGUUCACGAUGUGCGGCACGGGCGGCAAGACCGCUAAGGGCUUGCCGCAGCCGUGGAGGAUCGUGUACCCGGCCUUGGUGUUUAACAUCGUGUUCUUCUUCAUCGCCAUGGCCUCCGCUGUGAUGCUGGACAAGGGCUAUGACACUUUCUGCCACUCGUUCACCAGCAACAUGAAUGAAACAAGCUGUAGAGAUGUUGACAAGUACUGCUUCAGCUCUCAGCACGUUCUGAGAAUAACUUACGCAGAGGCAGCUUCCUGGUGCUCGAUGGUCGUGUGGCUGCUGGCGGCUCUGCUGCUGGUGCUGCGCUGCAUCUUCGUUGCCGACUUCGACGUGAUCAAAGUGACCAUCCAGACUCCGGAGCCGGACCACGACUGGAGCAGCUCCCGGGAGCGGGACGACUGGACCAACCCACGGGAGUCGGACCACGAGCAAGACACGCAGCAGGUGUGAAUACUUCACACUGGAUGAUUAAUGAAUUAGGAGCUGCAAGGAGUGAGCUGGCAGCCACUUGACUCCAUGCACAGCAGAAAAUGAACAUGAACUGAGUUUGGCCUGUUCAUCUCCCAUCGCCAUAUUGCAACCACUACAAACAAAUAACGGUGAGCGACUCGUCGAGUAAGGAAACAAUCAACCAGGAGGUUGACCUGUAACAGUUCUGCAGGAAAGGCAACACCUACCUCCCAAGUCUCGACAAAAGCUGAACCUCGCUUGCUAUCCCUCCUACGUUACUCCGCUUGCCGCUUUGCACGAUGUUGGUGCCGGAAAUCUAACGCUUGUGGUCUGCAGGAUAAUCACUCCCAAAGAAGUUGUGGAGGUUUUUUUAUGUAUAGUUUUCUGAAACAUUGACUUUUUAUAGCUUUACAUUAACAAACGUACAAAGUCUUUCGACGUAUUUGCUUUCAUUAGGAGUAUGAUUUUUGAUACUUGUUUUAAUCAAGCUGCAAAGUGAUAUUUUAAUAGACACUCUUAAAAACAAUUUGCUACAUUGGUUUGAUGAUUGUGUCUUUGAGAUAUUUCGUGAACUCCUCGAAAAAGUUUUGUUUGAUUUAUGUUUAAUAAUGAUUAUGAAUUGUGGGUAGCAGUACAGUUACUGGCCUUAGCCAUCACAUCAUGUGAUAGAAUGGGUCUGCAUUUAGCAAACAUUAAGCAAUGCAGUAACCAUGGAAAAACACAAAACAUGCUGCUAAAUGUAGACUGUAAACUGAGUGAGAAAAGAGCCAUUUUUAAAUAUUAAGAAUUGUAUGUGCUAGCAAAAGAUAUUGCAAUUUGAUAGAGCAUAUUAAUGCUAUUUUAGUAAUUUCUAUAGAGUAGUUUGAUGGCAAGAAAUCAGGCCUGUGUAGUGUCUCAGAGAGUUGUUUCCAGUUGUGAUUUCCACUUUAAAUUUAACCUAUUAAGCCUUAAAAAUUAACUAAAGUAUGCCACAAGUAACAAAAAGUUUGCUACUUGUUAUGCAACAUACAUAUUUUGUAACCAGAUGUUUUAUUCAGUAUUUUAAGGUUCACAGUAAUUUUUUUUUUUUGCUUUAAGCUGUGACUUCAUGGUUGAUUCUCUUGUGCUAAAGUCCUUCUAAGUGAUAUUGGAAAUAAUAGUGGCUGCUUGUUUAAAAUAUGUCUGAUGUACGUGCAUGUUAUGUCAGCUCAUUUUGAAAAUAUACAAUUUCAAAAAUGUAUCUGCCAGGGCAAAAUAAGGAAUUUUGAUUGCACUAUGGGGAGUAAAUUUAAGUUGAAGUAGAUUUUCAUGGAAAUUACUAACUUUGUUAGGUGAAAUGUGCCUUUAAAUCACGUACUGUUCACCCAAAACUUAACUGUGUGUUGGCCUAUUAAAACACGUUUUGUAUUUAUACUUCCUGAAUUUCUUGAUUAGUAAACACAUGCUAGUAAAUGUUAGAAAAAAAUGUGAUAGUAUAACCUUUGUGUACACUAUUUGUUAGACACACCUUAAUUAGUGCUCAUGCUCCUCGAAAUUUGCUCUCUAAUGGUAUGAGGACUACUCAACAAUGUGUUAAACUAUGUAGUAUAGAUAGCUUGGUUUUGCUCAAAUUGAUUCAUGCUGGUGCUCAUGUAGUGAUAAUGCAAACAUUAUAUCCACAGCUAGCUGUAGACUUAAGUCUGUACACAACCAAGAUGAUGUACCUUAUAAACACCUUGCCUUUUAAUUGGUUUUAUAUUUUAAGGCUUUUUCAGUAACAUUUGUAUGUAUUUAAAAAUGACAUAUUACUUUUAUAGUAUUUUAUUUAAUAAGCACUGUUGUAUUACUGUAACAGAUCUCAGAAUAUUAUGCAAUUUGUCUUUAGACUAGCUAUUAUUAUUUUUUUAAGUUUAGAGUUUGUUGUUUUACACUUCCUUAAUAGUAUAAAUUCCUUUCUGUUUAGUGUAGAAAUUAAAAUGCAAUUUACUUUUAAGUUUUAAACUGUAGAGUUUGUGAACUGACUAUAAUUAGUGAUAGUGAAUAUAGAUUAUAGAUUUAUGCAUAGUGUGUGCACAAGUUUAGCUGAUACAUGUAACAUUUUAAGAAAAUAAUUUAAUACUUCCACAUUCCUGUUUAUAGUCUACAGUAAGACACAUUUAUUCAAAAUGCUUGGGGGUAUAAUUUUGGACAUGUAAUAUGCUUUUUUGCAUCUCACAGUCCAGUUAACUUGAGAAUGUUAAUAUGCAACCACAUACAGUAGAAUCCCGCUGAUGCGACCCCUCACGGUUUCCCGAAAAACGGACUUAUAAACGGAAUGGUCGCAAUAGAGAAUUCGGGCCUAUUUUAACCCCCCCCCCUCCCCCAAUAUAUACAAAUACAUAAAAAAAAACUCACGCUAAAUGAAUUCACGUCACGCGAGUUCGGCUAUGCUAGCCGGCUGGUUGUUAUUUUCGUUCAAAACGUGGCGAAGGAACUUGUGUGGAUCAGGUAGAAAACAUUUGUCUAUAAACGAAAGAUAUAAGAACAAUGCUAUCCUGAAAUGCUGUAACAUUUUUUUGGAGUAGAUAAUCACAGCGACAGACUGACAGGAUGUGCUCCCUCCCUUGCGGUCAGCGAUGUUGAUUUUGACAGCUCAAGCAAUUAUCUUUUCCACGUCCCUUCGCAGCGUAAAAAGAAAAAAAAAAGAAGAAAAAACACGUUGGAAGGACCGACGAGUUUCUUAAGCUCUCGCAGAAGCUACCACAGCGGCUUUUGGCGGGUAAGAUAACAUAACAGCUGAGACGGCUUUUCGUGCGAUAGUGGACGCACCGAGCUUGGCUAGACACUGCCGCGUGGACGGUCUAGAGGGGUGGUAUAUAUUUUUAGCCAUCUUUUGUAUGCCUGCCUGCUUAGAGUAAAGCUCCCGCCAAGAUAAAAGUGAACACAUAGCACCCAACAAAGUUUAACACUUGUUUUUCAGCCAAUUUUACUCAAAUUUUUGACUUUCUCUGCUUAAAUUUUCCACGGUUCCUCAAAAAACGGUCGUAUAAACGGAAUGGACGCAUCAGAGGGGGGUCGCAUCGGCGGGAUUCUACUGUACCUUGAAUUUCUAUCAGUGGUAACUAACUGAAUAAAAUUUUUAAUUAACUCAAUUGAAUGACGAAACUAUGCAUUUUUUAAUGCAUAAAUAAAAAUAUGUGACUAGGCAACUAGAAUAAGUUCACUUAGCAGAUACUCUUGGUUGUUAUAUUAAUCUCUGCUUGCAAAGUAAACUUAUAUAAUGUGUAAAUUUACUGUGUUUGUUAGGGAAAGUUUACAAAACAGCACACGCACAUUUUCCACGGGCUCCCCUAAAUCACUCAGCCGGCAACGACACUCCGCAGUAAAAAAGAAAUUGACAGCCGCCUGAAUUCUGGACAGUGAGCUUUGUCUCAUUUUAGAGCUUCGGUGUGUUAGCAUUAAUAAUUUUCAGCAGGAAAAUGCCUGUGAAUUAAAAUAGUUUUGUUUUAAUGCUACAGCAAUUCAAAACAAUAAACUGAGUGGGAAAAAAGUGUCAUAAAACUACUCAGUUGUUGUUUAAAGUGGAGGGCAUGUGUGACAGACAAGCCCAUUUAUUUGUCAUGAUUUUACACAAAUUAAUUUCAAGUAGUAUCUUCCUGUCACACCAAUACAAUAUAUUAGAUAAAUUUCAGGUUUACCAAUCACUUUGUUAUAUUGACAUAAUCUCUUGCAAGUAUUCGUAAUAUUGACAGUGUGGGUUUGAGUUUCUCUAAAGUUAUUUUUUACCCUCUCACAUGAUAUUCAAGAAAGCCAGAAUGUAAGAAUUGUACUGGAUUGGGGCGGGCUACCAAAUGUUGAAGGAAUGGCUGGCAGGAGCACUAAUUGGGAGUGCAAGCAUCGGUGGAUAGGCCGGGACAACUCUGUAGGAGGGGGAGAGAUGUAUGCCGCACCCUCGGGGACCUCUGUUAUUGUUAGGUACUGAAAAAAAAAAUACUUGUGACAUAGAUUUUAGAAAAUUUACAAAUUCCAGGUUAUAAUAUUGAGCACCAUAAAUUUGUGUUCCCAAAUGUUCACCACUGAUUACGAAAUAAACAUUCGUACUCUUGAUGAUGUGGAGUCGAGCAAACGCAAUCAGUGAGGGGUCGAGGGGUGCAAGGUUGUGUUGAUUGAAGGGAGGGAGUUGCUGUACCAGACGUGUAGUCGCUGGGCUGUCACCAAGUGACCGACCUACUGCCAGGUCGCUGUAGGCAUUGUGCAUUGUAAAUUGAAUUACCGUAUUUACUCGUGUAUAACGCGCCCUCGUGUAUAGCGCGCACCACGAUUUUUGCAACAAAUUCCAAAGAAAUUUUUUUUUUUUUUUCCCAUAAAUAAAUUGUACUAACAUUUUGUGGUACCUGUACGUGUGAAACAAAUGAUAAUUUAAAUUGAUGUGUGGUGAUGCGUCAGGAAAAUACUUAAACUCUGCUGUGUAGACGGAAGAUAAUGAAGCGCUGUAUCGUCACAACUGGUACAUGGGCGGGAGGAAGGGAGGCAGGCAGGAAUGUGACACGGAGGACUAGAUGACUCACCGGUAGCAGCUGCGACAUAGAGAAGGAAGUGGGAGGGGGGACUGGUGUCAACAUUCUCUCUCUCUCUUUUAUUUUACUAGCUGUAGAGGGGGAGGUCUAAAAAUAAACAAGAGACCUGCGAGCUUGCGCGCGCACGUGUGUGUGUGUGUGAGAGAGAGAGAGAGAGAGAGAGAGAGACCAGGUUGUGUGCGUGUGUGUGUGUGAAAGAGAGGCCUUGUUGCUUGUGCGUAUGUGUGGGGGGCUGGCCAGAAACGUCACCCGUCACCCGGCAAUUAACGACUUCCACUCCUCCCCGCCUCAUCUACUCACUUUUUUUUUCCGUGUAUAGCGCGCAUCCUUAUUUUUUUCCUUUACUUGAGGGGAAAAAAGGGCGCGCUAUACACGAGUAUAUACGGUAUACUGACACACUAACAAACAAGCCAAACAUAAAAUAAUUGUUUAAAAGAAAAUUGUUUUAAUAUAUAAUUUUAAAAAUUUUGAAUUUAAGGUUUUAUUUUUUAGAGUAAAUAGAAUUAUCCGAGUUUGAAUUAAUGAGGUUUUAUUUACUGUAUGUACAUCAGAUUUCUGUGGGUAAUUUUUAGUGCUUUUUUUUAUAUAUAUUUUUUUUAUUUCUGUUGUAGUGCAGCUUGUAAUCUAAGCUUGCUGUGUGUGAAAGUGUUAAAUUAUCUUCCCUCCAUUUUUAUUAUUAUUUUCUUGCCUGUAUUUUUUUUCUUGUGGAAACUUGUAUUUUUCCUGUGCUAGGGCACAGUUAAUAAUCUGAUGUUCAUCCAGUCAACACAUCCUAACAUUAUGGUUCUUCAAGCAACUUUUAUUGUUGUGUUUCAAAUCAUUUUAAAAUUGCUCACGGUUUGCUCAUCACUGUGACACAACACAUAUUUCUGCUCAAGACUUGAUGUGAUCACAUCAAUGGUUUGUGAAUUGUGAUUAUAUGUAAGAUUUUGUGUGCUCAAUUUACAUUUCACUGCUCAAUAAAGAUUGUGUUGGAAAGUCUAA